rnacentral:rRNA from 1 species
CCACGGGUGGCAGCAGUGGGGAAUAUUGGACAAUGGGCGGAAGCCUGAUCCAGCCAUGCCGCGUGUGUGAAGAAGGCCUUCGGGUUGUAAAGCACUUUCAGUGGGGAAGAAAGCCUUGGGGCUAAUACCCUCGAGGAAGGACAUCACCCACAGAAGAAGCACCGGCUAACUCCGUGCCAGCAGCCGCGGUAAUACGGAGGGUGCGAGCGUUAAUCGGAAUUACUGGGCGUAAAGCGCGCGUAGGCGGUCUGAUAAGCCGGUUGUGAAAGCCCCGGGCUCAACCUGGGAACGGCAUCCGGAACUGUCAGGCUAGAGUGCAGGAGAGGAAGGUAGAAUUCCCGGUGUAGCGGUGAAAUGCGUAGAGAUCGGGAGGAAUACCAGUGGCGAAGGCGGCCUUCUGGACUGACACUGACGCUGAGGUGCGAAAGCGUGGGUAGCAAACAGGAUUAGAUACCUUGUAGUC